UCAUAUUGUUUUAGGUACACCAGGAGAGUUCACUAACUGCCCUAUAUCUUUUUGUACUAGUAGGGACACUAGACAGUAUAAGACCCAUCAUAUCUCAACAGCAAUAAUGAGGAUUAUUGUAUCUUUCCUGUCUUUUAUGUUGUUAUUUAAUUAUCUUAAUGGUACUCCUCAGUUCACUACAUGUCCUAGUUCAGUGUGUCUCUCUCAACCAGUUACUUAUGAGU